UAAUACGGAAGGUCCAGGCGUUAUCCGGAUUUAUUGGGUUUAAAGGGAGUGUAGGCGGUCUGUUAAGCGUGUUGUGAAAUUUAGGUGCUCAACAUCUACCUUGCAGCGCGAACUGGCGGACUUGAGUGCACGCAACGUAUGCGGAAUUCAUGGUGUAGCGGUGAAAUGCUUAGAUAUCAUGACGAACUCCGAUUGCGAAGGCAGCGUACGGGAGUGUUACUGACGCUUAAGCUCGAAGGUGCGGGUAUCGAACAGGAUUAGAUACCCUGGUAGUCCGCACGGUAAACGAUGGAUGCCCGCUGUUAGCGCCUGGCGUUAGCGGCUAAGCGAAAGCAUUAAGCAUCCCACCUGGGGAGUACGCCGGCAACGGUG
rnacentral:rRNA from 1 species